rnacentral:rRNA from 1 species
GAGUUUGAUCCUGGCUCAGGAUGAACGCUAGCGGCAGGCCUAAUACAUGCAAGUCGAACGGGAUUUGGGUAGCAAUACCUAAUGAGAGUGGCGCACGGGUGAGUAACGCGUAUGCAACCUACCUUUAACAGGGGUAUAGCUCCGAGAAAUCGGGAUUAAUACCUCAUAGCAUCUAGAGAUCACAUGGUUUUUAGAUUAAAGCUCCGGCGGUUAAAGAUGGGCAUGCGUGCCAUUAGCUAGUUGGUGAGGUAACAGCUCACCAAGGCUAUGAUGGCUAGGGGUUCUGAGAGGACUAUCCCCCACACUGGUACUGAGACACGGACCAGACUCCUACGGGAGGCAGCAGUAAGGAAUAUUGGGCAAUGGACGCAAGUCUGACCCAGCCAUGCCGCGUGCAGGAUGACAGCCUUAUGGGUUGUAAACUGCUUUUAUCAGGGAAUAACCGCUCGUACGUGUACGAGUCUGAAUGUACCUGAAGAAUAAGCACCGGCUAACUCCGUGCCAGCAGCCGCGGUAAUACGGAGGGUGCAAGCGUUAUCCGGAUUUAUUGGGUUUAAAGGGUGCGUA